UCUCUCCUGGGAAAAGAGGCCAGCAAUUGCGCUGCGGGAGAAAGGAAGGAACUCAGGACCCAGUUGUUUCUCCACCUGUGUGAUUGCAGGCUGCCUCUCCCAUGACUAGUCUUCUCAUGCUGCAAAUCCAGCAACAUUUGCUCCAGAAAAUUCUGCUUUCUGUAAGAUAUUUUCAGCACACAAGGGUGAUAUAAAUGUAGCCUUUCCUGACUCCCUUGCCAAUUGGAAACCAUUCCAUAUUUCUGUAUUCUAUCCUGAUAGAAUGGUGCUCCAUGCUGUCAUGCUGGCCACAUCACCUUGGAGGUGUCUACAGACAAUGCUGGCUCUUUGGCUUAGAAAUAGAGAUGAGCACCACCCCCAGACUCUGAUAUGACUAAACAUAAUGUCAAGGGGAAACCUUUACCUUUACCUACCCUAAUAGAGUGCCUCUUACCCUCUGAACGUAUUUUGGACACCUGACUUCUCACUUCAUAUAUGACAAAUAUUUUUGUGUUGUCAAAGGCUUUCAUGGCCGGGAUCACAGGGUUGUUGUUGUAUGUCUUUCGGGCUGUGUGGCCAUGUUCCAGAAGCAUUCUCUCCUGACGUUUCGCCCACAUCUAUGGCAGGCAUCCUCAGAGGUUGUGAGGUAUGGAGAAAACUAUAUAUUGUUACUUUGUUGUACCUCAUAUUGAGCCAUCAGGAGAGAUGGGUUGUUGUUGUUGUUGUUGUUGUUGUUGUUGUUGUUGUUGUUGUUAUCAUUAUUAUUAUUGGCAUUUUGUGGACCUUCUAGAUAUUGCUGAAUUCUUCUUCCUUGAAUGCUAGCCUGCAUGGUCAAUGGCCAGGGAUGAUGGAAGUUGUAGUGCAGUGAAAUUGGAGGGCUGUGUGUCACUGCAUUACAACUUCCAUCAUCCCUGGCCAUUAGUGUCUCCUCAGACUAUGGUUUCCAUGAUAUAGAAAUCUAAUUGUCAUGACUUGGAUACAUGGAUGACCAGCAGACACAGUAGACAAAAGUGUUCUGCACCUUGACAUGGAAGCUUUAUUUGCUAAAACACUAUUUUCUAUCAAACAUUUAAAGACAUGGAAGUCCUGUCUGAGCUGAAAAAUUACACAGUGCAAGUAUGACACAACACUAUAGGUACAGUGGGUUUUUUUUAUUCAUAGAUUCAAAUGUUCACAGAUUCAGUUGUGAGUCUUUCUGCACUGAAUGUACAAGAUAGUGAAGGAUCAAAUGAUGUCCCAAAGAUGUGAAUUGCCCAAAGGGUGUAGAACAGUAGUUCCCAACUUGUUUUUGACCAGGGACCACUUUGACCAGGGACCACACUCCAACAUUAGUACCAAAAAGGUUAUGAUUCUGUUUGGUUAUUUGGGGUGCUGAUUCAGAAAAUUGCAUUGGAUAGACCACACCCACUGUAGUUUCUGAUAGAGAACAUUUGCCAUCCAGCGGUUGCC
rnacentral:lncRNA from 1 species